CAGUGAUAAACUGGAGGAAGGUGGGGAUGACGUCAAGUCAUCAUGGCCCUUACGAGUAGGGCUACACACGUGCUACAAUGGCGCAUACAAAGAGAAGCGACCUCGCGAGAGCAAGCGGACCUCAUAAAGUGCGUCGUAGUCCGGAUUGGAGUCUGCAACUCGACUCCAUGAAGUCGGAAUCGCUAGUAAUCGUGGAUCAGAAUGCCACGGUGAAUACGUUCCCGGGCCUUGUACACACCGCCCGUCACACCAUGGGAGUGGGUUGCAAAAGAAGUAGGUAGCUUAACCUUCGGGAGGGCGCUUACCACUUUGUGAUUCAUGACUGGGGUGAAGUCGUAACAAGGUAACCGUAGGGGAACCUGCGGUUGGAUCACCUCCUUACCUU
rnacentral:rRNA from 1 species